CACACAUUAGAUACCCCGGUAGUCCCAGCCCUAAACGAUGCGCGUUAGGUGUAUCGGUGACCACGAGUCACCGAGGUGCCGAAGGGAAACCGUGAAACGUGCCGCCUGGGAAGUACGGUCGCAAGGCUGAAACUUAAAGGAAUUGGCGGGGAGCACCACAACGGGUGGAGCCUGCGGUUUAAUUGGACUCAACGCCGGGAAGCUCACCGGAUAAGACAGCGGAAUGAUUGCCGGGCUGAAGACCCUGCAUGACCAGCUG
rnacentral:rRNA from 1 species